rnacentral:misc_RNA from 1 species
GUAUUGAUUGCGUUUUAUUGCAAAAAUGAGGUCAUUCUACACUUUUUUAAAAAGGGGUUUGUGUGAAAACGCAAGCCCCCUUCCUGGAUCGAAUCGAUCCCGAAGGGUGCCCACGCGGUGGUGCACAAGAGGGUGAGAUGGAUUUUAUGCGGGAGGACACGCUCUGGCGUGCACGACUUUAAAAAGUCAGCGACAGCCCUCGCAUGCCCUCACACAUUUUGUACGAUAAUGAUCCUUCCGCAGGUUCACCUACGGAAA